rnacentral:rRNA from 1 species
AUUGAACGCUGGCGGCAUGCUUUACACAUGCAAGUCGAACGGUAACAGGUCUUCGGAUGCUGACGAGUGGCGAACGGGUGAGUAAUACAUCGGUACGUGCCUAGUAGUGGGGGAUAACUACUCGAAAGAGUAGCUAAUACCGCAUGAGAUCUACGGAUGAAAGCAGGGGACCUUCGGGCCUUGUACAAUUAGAGCGGCUGAUGGCAGAUUAGGUAGUUGGUGGGGAAAAGGCUUACCAAGCCGGCGAUCUGUAGCUGGGCUGAGAGGAAGACCACCCACACUGGGGCUAAGACACGGCCCGGACUCCUACGGGAGGCAGCAGUGGGGAAUUUUGGACAAUGGGCGGGAGCCUGAUCCAGCAAUGCCGCGUGCAGGAUGAAGGCCCUCGGGUUGUAAACUGCUUUUGUACGGAACGAAAAGCCUGGGGCUAAUAUCCCCGGGUCAUGACGGUACCGUAAGAAUAAGCACCGGCUAACUACGUGCCAGCCGCCGCAGUAAAAC